rnacentral:rRNA from 1 species
UUUUAAAAAAUUUUGGUAACCCCCAACGGGGGGGCAAAAAUUGGUUUUUAAUUUUUCCCUUCUAAAAUUUAAAUUUUUAAAAUUUUUAAAUUUAUUUCUCCCAAAAAAAAAUAAUUUUUUUUUAAAAAAAUAAAAAUUUCCCCCAAAAAUUUUUUGGAAAAAAAGGUUUUAAAAAAAAUUUUUAACCCCAAGGAAAUUUUU